UCUCCCUCAGGGGUGGCUCUUCUGCAACCAAACAGGACCAAAUGAAGUUUCAGAAAUAUGGAGAUAAAAAGACAAAAAGCCCAUCACCAAGAAUGGGAGCUGUCCCACGCCACUGACAUCUCGUUGCAAAGGCAGAGAAUUCUACCUGAUUCAGCCUGGGGCUGACAAAAAUCAGGCUGACAUCAAACAGAAGUCUCCUUCAUGGCAAAUGCCUCUGUUGCUAGGUCACUUGUGACAUCAGGCUGAUACUAGGUAUACAAAAAGAAAUAGCUUCCCAGUUUUGCAGUUUUCCCACACUUCAGUGCUGGAUCAGAUGCUCUCUGGCUCUGCGGUGUAUGCACAGCAAACGUGCAGACUGGUUUGCUUUUACUUUUGACAUCAAAGGGAGCCAACCCCAGACUCAGUCGGUACAGCUGGGCGGGGUUCCACAGGAGACGCGAGCACGGCAGUUCUAAUAUAAUGACAUCGUCUUCUGCUGACAAGGAUGACAACACAAUGAGAACUCAAGACAGGAAACUCUGAGCCUGAAACACCGAUGCAAAACUAUGGGAACCGACAGCUAAAGGCUACGGGAACCCACUGGACGUGCUGGCCUGGCCUCUGGCCUGUCCCAAGGGCGGGGAUGAUUCUGCCUCUGAGCGCCACUCUUGGGUGGGCCUAGCUCCGUCUGCGGCUGCUCAGAAAAUCACGGCACGUGUCAUGGUGUGGUGAACGAGGCAAGAGCUUCUCCCUCAUAAGCCAGCUGCACGAGCGAAGAACACAUUCACCAGCCUUCAAGAGCACCUUCCCAGGGAGGAUUUUAAAAUUAAUCACAGGGGAAGUUUACUGAGUUCUGUCAGGAAAGCCUUGGGACAGCACAUACGGGUGUUACUUUCUAAGUGGGCAUCCAGUAAAUAUCUCAGAUUGACUGCCCCUUGAGAAAAAGGUUGUUAUGUGUAGAUACAUGAGAAAUACGACUACAUUGUCAGGAGUGACUUGAAAGGGAAACUUGUUAACCCUGAAAAACAAACGUGGGAGAACGCCAUGCUUAAAGAGCACUUCCGAUGGGUGACGGCACUUUGCAUUAUGGUCAGGAGGCACCAGGCAGCUGAAGGUCUGCUCUGCAGACCGGCCUCUCCCCAUAAAGGCAGUGCAGCUGUCCGGCACUCUCAGCAAGGGUCAGAACUGAUAGGCCCGUCCUCUGCGUCACACCUUCCUCACAGGAUACCACAUGGCUUUUCCAAAACACCGAUCAGAAGGCAUCACCGGAGCAUCUGUCUCUGCCUAAAAGAAAGAGCAUUUCGGCUGAUGUGUAACAGACUACAGCAGGAAAUCAGGAGCAACAGCUGCUUGCUGACUUGCAUUACUGAAAUAAAAAGGGACGAACGUGCAUAAAGAUUUCCUGAAGGGGCCUGUGAAAGGUACUUCACGGAAACUGCUUCCGUUCUCAAGGGGAGUCCACACAGAGUACCAAUACUUCUCCAACAUGGAUGAGUAUGUUUAUACUGCCCUCACAAAAUAACU